UUAUUAAAACUUAAAUAAUUUGGCGGUAUUUUAGUUUAUUUAGAGGAAUCUGUUUAAUAAUUGAUAUACCACGAAUAAAUUUACUUAACUUUAUAAUUUUGUAUAUCGUUAUUAUAAAAAUAUUUUUUAAUAAAAUUAAUAUUUAAAAAUUAUUAUAUUAAUUUAAAUUAGAUCAAGAUGCAGAUUAUAGUUAAGAAUAUAAUGGAUUACAAUAAAAUUAUUUAAAUGAAUAUUAAUUUGUAAAAAUUAAUUGAAGGUGGAUUUAAAUGUAAUUUUAUUUAAUUAAAUAAAAUGAUUUAAUAUUAAAAUAUGU
rnacentral:rRNA from 1 species